rnacentral:rRNA from 1 species
UCCUGGCUACAGAACGAACGCUGGCGGCAGGCCUAACACAUGCAAGUCGAGCGCCCCGCAAGGGGAGCGGCGGACGGGUGAGUAACGCGUGGGAACGUACCCUUUGCUACGGAAUAGCCUCGGGAAACUGGGAGUAAUACCGUAUGUGCCCUUCGGGGGAAAGAUUUAUCGGCAAAGGAUCGGCCCGCGUUGGAUUAGGUAGUUGGUGGGGUAAUGGCCUACCAAGCCGACGAUCCAUAGCUGGUUUGAGAGGAUGAUCAGCCACACUGGGACUGAGACACGGCCCAGACUCCUACGGGAGGCAGCAGUGGGGAAUCUUAGACAAUGGGCGCAAGCCUGAUCUAGCCAUGCCGCGUGAGCGAUGAAGGCCUUAGGGUUGUAAAGCUCUUUCAGUGGGGAAGAUAAUGACUGUACCCACAGAAGAAGCCCCGGCUAACUCCGUG